AACGCACAUUGCGCCUCUCGGCAUUCCGAGGGGCACGCCUGUUCGAGCGCCAUUACACACCCCAAGCUCUGCUUGAUGUUGGACCAGGCAGAAGUGCCGGUCCGAAACACGUGGGCGCCCUCCGCCGACCUCGAGCGUAGCAAGAUAGCCUUUGGGCAUGUCAUUCGCAUCGUGGGUUCGGUUGAGGCGCAGCCUUGCACCUAUCGUUCUUGCAACGACAAAGUUUGGCCUCGGAUCAGGCGGGGAUACCCGCUGAACUUAA
rnacentral:misc_RNA from 2 species